UACGUAGGGUGCGAGCGUUGUCCGGAAUUAUUGGGCGUAAAGAGCUCGUAGGCGGCUUGUCGCGUCGGAUGUGAAAACCCGGAGCUCAACUCCGGGCCUGCAGUCGAUACGGGCGGACUUGAGUGUUGUAGGGGAGACUGGAAUUCCUGGUGUAGCGGUGGAAUGCGCAGAUAUCAGGAGGAACACCGAUGGCGAAGGCAGGUCUCUGGGCCACUACUGACGCUGAGAAGCGAAAGCAUGGGGAGCGAACAGG
rnacentral:rRNA from 1 species